UCAAAAAUGAUGAUAAUCGGUUUUAGGAUUUAUAAAAUUGUAUCCAAAAAAAGAAAAUAUCCUCGUUUAAUAAUAAACUUUCAUAAUAUGACAACCGGAAAAUUAUUUUACUUUAUUGUACCGAAAAACACACACACACACAACAUAAAUAGUAAUUUGUUGCUCAAUUUCAUCAAUAUGGUGUUUCAUAAAUUGUUGAUCGCAUCUGAAAUUAAUUUUGAAACAAAAAAAAAAGUCAACCCAAAUUUUUUGCGUAAAAAAAGUAGUAAAAAUGAGCAGCAAUGUCCAUCGGAUGUUGAUCAUAGCAAAUCCGUUGGAACGAAAUAAAAUAUAAAUCAAAGAUAGAUUCGGUACGCGGAGGCGUUCACAUUCAAUCUCAAAAAAAAUUCUAAGAUCUUUUUUUUUGUACGCCUUAAAUCUGUCCAAGGAUGAAUCAGAUCAACAACAACAAACAAACAAAAAAGAAGAAAAAGAUAGUGUUCGGUGCGGAUGCUAGUUUGGUGUCCACACAAAUAAACUACUCAAAAAAAAACGAAACAUAGGAAUCGACAUAAACAUUUUGUCAUUUUGUUGCGAACAACCAAAAAAAAAAAAUCACAUAUAAAAAGCAU